AGAGUUUGAUCCUGGCUCAGAUUGAACGCUGGCGGCAUGGCUAAAGCAUGCAAGUCUGGGAGAACCUUCGGGGGACACCGGCGAAAGGGCGAGUAAUGCGAUCGAACGUACCCCAAUGUGGGGGAUAGCGUCGGGAAACUGGCGGUAAUACCCCAUGUGCUCUACGGAGGAAGUUGGGAGCGGCGAUCGUCCUAUCAGGUUGUUGGUGAGGUAACGGCUCACCAAGCCGAAGACGGGUAGCGGGUGUGAGAGCAUGACCCGCCGCAUCGGGACUGAGACACUGCCCGGACUCCUACGGGAGGCUGCAGUAACGAAUAUUCCGCAAUGCGCGAAAGCGUGACGGAGCAAUGCCGCGUGCAGGAUGAAGCCCCUCGGGGUGUAAACUGCUGUCAGGGUUUAGGAACACAAUGACCAAACCCAAAGGAAGGACCGGCUAACUCUGUGCCAGCAGCCGCGGUAAUACAGAGGGUCCAAGCGUUGAUCGGAAUCACUGGGCUUAAAGGGUUCGCAGGCGGAUCUGUAAGUAUGUUGUGAAAUCCCACGGCUCAACCGUGGAAUUGCUUCGUAGACUGCAGAUCUUGAGCACGACAGGGGCCAUCAGAACGAUAGGUGGAGCGGUGAAAUGCGUAGAUAUCUAUCGGAAUGCCAAAGGUGAAGACAGAUGGCUGGGUCGUCGCUGACGCUCAGGAACGAAAGCAUGGGUAGCGAACGGGAUUAGAUACCCCGGUAGUCCAUGCCCUAAACGAUGUGUACUAGUUCGAGGAGGUUUUAACGCCAUCUCGGACGAAGCUAAAGUAUUAAGUACACCGCCUGGGGAGUACGGUCGCAAGGCUAAAACUCAAAGGAAUUGACGGGGACUCACACAAGCGGUGGAGCAUGUGGUUUAAUUCGAAGCAACGCGAAGAACCUUAUCCAGGGUUUGACAUGGACGGAUUAGCUUCCCGAAAAGGAAGUAACACUCUUUGAGUGGAACGUUGACAGGUGCUGCAUGGCUGUCGUCAGCUCGUG
rnacentral:rRNA from 1 species